GGAUCAGAUGCAAAAUGUAUUCUGGCGGACUUGGUCUAAGGGGCUUCUAAAAGGUCAAAACAACAAGAGCGCCCGAAUUUGAGA
rnacentral:tRNA from 1 species